rnacentral:rRNA from 1 species
UACAGAGGGGCAAGCGUUAUUCGGAAUUAUUGGGCGUAAAGGGCGCGUAGGCGGCAUGGCAAGUGGAAGGUGAAAUCCCUCGGCUUAAACCCGAGGAACUGCCCUCCAAACUGCUUUGCUUGGAGGCCGGGAGAGGUGAGUGGAAUUCCCAGGUGUAGCGGUGAAAUGCGUAGAUAUCUGGAGGAACACCGGUGGCGAAGGCGGCAUCCUGGACCGGUAGUUGACGCUGAGGCGCGAAAGCCAGGGGAGCAAACGGGGAUUAAGCAAACCCGGAGUAACGUCCAGA